UUCAGUUGCCUUUAAAGAGGCCGCAGAGAGCUGAAAAACAAAUCCAAGUUUAAAGAGACAAGUGCAAAAAUGCAAACCGGGCAAGGGGACAGAGCCACCAGCUGGACUAAAUGUGCCUGGAGAAGCGCGUCCUCUGCUUGGCAGGAAGAACCCGUCGGCCCCCAUCCCCUGCAUCCCCCACAUGUCCUGUAUGACAGCGGUUCGAAACCUGGGAUUACGCGUCCGUGGACGUCUCCGUGGCCCCGGUUCCGCGUGGGGCGUGCGGGGAGGCCUCCGAAUGAGUGAAUACGGAUGUGGGAGCCUGCACGGUGCCAUCUAUGGAACUUACUACGCUCCAAACGCUAAACCUUCCGAUCGUGUAAGGAAUAGAUCGUCAGCUCCGUCAUACCAAAGAAGAAACUGGAACUGAGAGGGAAGACGGCUUAGCCGAGGUCACUCAGCUGGUAAGACGGUGAGCCGAGAUGCGAACCCGGGUCUGGGCCACUUGCAGUUCAGCAGGCUUCCCCGAGCUCCUUCCCUUCUCCUCCAAACGUGCACCGUCCCGCGCCAAGCGUGCAGAGAGGAGGCACUCUGGGCAGCUGAAUCUCUCAACAGCUGGAGCUGGUACCCCGUUGUCCAGAUUCAAGUCAGACACUGCACAAUCCGGACUCCUCUGGCCGGCUGAAGUCCUCCUCUUAGGAGCCUAGGAUCCUGCCGGCUUUGAAAAACUGCUACUCUGCCAAGAGACUGUUGAAGUCAAGUUCUUUUCUUUCUUUCUUUUUCUUUUUCUCUUUCUUUCUUUCAGAUUUUUUUAUUCAUGAGAGACACACAGAGAGAGAGGCAGAGAUACAGGCAGAGGGAGAAGCAGGAUCCCUGCAGGAGCCCGAUGGGGGACCCCAGGAUCACACCCUGAGCUGAAGGGAGACGCUCAGCCACUGAGCCACCCGGGCGUCCCUGUUGAGGUCAAUUUCUAAACGUGCGUGGGGUAGAGACAGGAAUGAAAGAGACCUAAGUUCUUCAUUUCACCCCAACAGAUUGUCUCAUCGACAGGGAAGGGGUUCUGACCAUCAAGAGUCUACUCCCCCCAACUGAGGGAAAACAGAAAAGAGCUCACAUCUACUAUCUCAACCCAUAAGCUAGGAUAUGCUUUGAGAGGGAGCAUGGGGGGGCGGGGGGGGGGUAGCCUGGGUGGCUCAGUUGGUUGCACGUCCGACUCUUGAUUUAGGCUCAAGUCAUGACCUCAGGGUGGUGAGAUCGAGCCCUGCAUCAGGCUCCAUGCUCGGCAGGGAGUCUGCUUGCUAUUCCCUCCUGCCUCUCCCUAGCUUGCUUGUUUGCUGACAAAUAAAAUCUUUAACAAAAAAGGAGGGCAGCUCCGGUGGCUCAGGGGUUUAGCACCGCCUUCAGCCCAGGGCCUGAUCCUGGAGACCCGGGAUCGAGUCCUACAUAGGGCUCGCUGCAUGGAGGCUGCCUCUAUGUAUCUCUCAUGAAUAAAUAAAUAAAAUCUUAAAAAUAUAAAAAGGAGCCCUGGAAUUAUUCCCACUACGAGGAUUCUCCUUACUUUAUAAAUUAAAAAUGAACCCAGGAAAAAUGC